UAGCUCAGAGGAUUAGAGCACGUGACUACGAACCAUGGUGACGGAGGUUCGAAUCCUUC
rnacentral:tRNA from 1 species